UGCAAAAUGAAGUGGCACUUUUGCCCUUUCUGUUUCGCUCAAUUACAAGUUUGCCAUUCUUCUACACCCUUCUUACGCGAUGGUUUCUAUUUUAGUCUGACGGUGGUGGUGUUUCACAAUAGAAAUCAUUUACCAGAGUCCAGAGUUUUUCUCAUAAUCUCAUCAUCAUCGAGUUCGAUCCCCACUGAUUCAGUAGAAGAAGAAGUCGAAGCAGUUUUAUACGAGACUAGAGUCUGUGAGAUUCAGAUCGGUGGAGAGAAGAGCGUUUCGUAUCGAAGAUCGCUGGGGUACGAGAAAGAAGAGGAGAGAUUGAAGAUUUUGGUCAAAGAGAUUAUAUGCAAAGAAGUGUGUGUAUUAUUCUUCUACCGCUGUUCCUCUGUACAUUGUUUGGAAGUAUCUCACCGUCUUAUUGCUAUUCAGAUCUAGAGGACAGCGUGCUGUCAGUCUCUUUUGCUGUUUCGGGUUUAGAUAGAAAUUUUACAUGUAGUUUUGUAUUCAAUUUACCGCUGAUAUUCAGUUUAUAUUAUGGAAAAGUGAUGGCACUAAAAACUGAUGAUGAGAGGAGCAAAAAGAUUGUUAGAACAGUGUGAUGCUGAAAAUCGUCAGAAUCAACAGAAAAUUCAACGAAUUUGCAGUGGUGAGGGCUUUGUUGCAACAAGAACUAGAUGUAAUAGUGUUGAUCAGGUUAAAUCACGUAGAUGCAAAACAGUGUCUUAUCCAGAAAUUGCUGAAGUAUCAAAUAGCAACGACCAAAAUAUCACUGCAGUUGCGAACGAAAAUCCGCAUAUGAUUACAGAAGGUCAAUACUCUCAUCCAUUUGGUCAGGCAUCAUAUCAAAGAAGCAAGCAAGGAUCAAUUGUAAAAUAUGAGGAUUCGGGUGAUAAUGUUCAUUAAUGUGAUUAUUGCAAUGCAUCUUUUUGGUUCGGAGAAGCUGUUAAGCAAUCAUCUUCAAAUGAGCCUGUUGCAAAAGAGGUCAAAUCAAAAUUGAGCAGCCAAAACCAACACCAAUUUUUCUUGAAAGAUUAUUAGAUCCAAACAAUGGUUCAGAAAGUAAACUUUUCAGAGAAAAUAUAAGAGUUUACAAUCAAUGUUCUCUUUUACAUCAAUGGGAGCGAAAAUUGAUUAUAAGAUAAAUACUGGAUCAGGUCCAUAUGUUUUUAAAAUUAGUGGUCAAGUCCAUCAUUUAAUGGGUUCUGUAUUACCUUCUGAUGGAGAAUGUCCUAAAUAUGCUCAGUUAUAUAUAUAUGAUACAAAAAAUGAGAUUUCAAAUCGUGUCAA